AACUAUUUGCUUGAAAUAAUUUAUUUCUUUUGCCUUUCAGACAUUAAAUAUACCAGAUGCCUAUAAAGAUGAGCGAUUUGAUCCUUCAGUUGACCAGGCUUCAGGAUUUGUCACAAAGACCAUUCUUUGUAUGCCUAUCAAGAAUGGAAGAGAGGAAAUUAUUGGUGUUGUCCAGCUUUUGAAUAAGUUGGAUGCUACAUCAUUCAACAAAAACGAUGAAAAUCUUUUUGAGGUAAUUUUUGUCCUGCAAAGCUU